UAUCUACCCCCACUGUCCAAAAUACUUGUCUUUAAACUGGAUAAAAGGGGAUGUAUCUAGAUGUAUUUUAGUUUUAGAUACAUCUCUUUUUAUCCAUUUUGAUGACGGGUAUUUUAGGACGGAGGGAGUAGUUA
rfam:Triticum aestivum genome assembly, contig: Triticum_aestivum_CS42_TGACv1_scaffold_423191_5BS